UACGGAGGGAGCUAGCGUUGUUCGGAAUUACUGGGCGUAAAGCGCACGUAGGCGGCUUUUUAAGUCAGGGGUGAAAUCCUGGAGCUCAACUCCAGAACUGCCCUUGAUACUGAGGAUCUUGAGUUCGGGAGAGGUGAGUGGAACUGCGAGUGUAGAGGUGAAAUUCGUAGAUAUUCGCAAGAACACCAGUGGCGAAGGCGGCUCACUGGCCCGAUACUGACGCUGAGGCACGAAAGCGUGGGGAGCAAACAGG
rnacentral:rRNA from 1 species